rnacentral:tRNA from 1 species
UAGAUUUUUAGUUUUUAGAAUUUUAAAUUGCAAAUUUAAAGGUUAUAAAGUCUAA